rnacentral:lncRNA from 1 species
GGGGGGUUAGGGGGGAGGGUUAGUGAAAAAACUAUAUGAAUUAAGUUUUUUAUCCUACAUUGAACUUUUAAUGUCUAGUGAAAUACCACAGGCACUUGUCUCAGAAAAAAAUCCUAUAUACCUUAGUAUAAGACAAAUAACGGAUACAAAACGGACACAGAACGGACGAGUAUUGUAAAAAAAACGGACGCUUACCGGACACUUCAUCCGUUGAACGUCCGUUCAAAGUUUUGAACAUGCUCAAAUUUUUCCAUCGGACAAAACGGACGUCGACUGAUAAAGCGGAC